AUUGAACGCUGGCGGCAUGCCUUACACAUGCAAGUCGAACGGCAGCACGAGAGCAAUCCUGGUGGCGAGUGGCGAACGGGUGAGUAAUAUAUCGGAACGUGCCCGGUCGUGGGGAUAACGUAGCGAAAGCUACGCUAAUACCGCAUACGAUCUACGGAUGAAAGCGGGGGAUCGCAAGACCUCGCGCGAUUGGAGCGGCCGAUAUCAGAUUAGGUAGUUGGUGAGGUAAAGGCUCACCAAGCCGACGAUCUGUAGCUGGUCUGAGAGGACGACCAGCCACACUGGGACUGAGACACGGCCCAGACUCCUACGGGAGGCAGCAGUGGGGAAUUUUGGACAAUGGGCGCAAGCCUGAUCCAGCAAUGCCGCGUGCAGGAUGAAGGCCUUCGGUUGUAAACUGCUUUUGUACGGUAACGAAACGGUGAGGCUCUAAUACAGUUGCUAAUGACGGUACCGUAAGAAUAAG
rnacentral:rRNA from 1 species